UCCUCCAAAGUGGAACUGGACUUACCAAUUUCAGGUCAAGGACCAAAUUGGAAGUUUCUUUUAUUUCCCUUCUCUGCAUUUUCAGAGAGCAUCAGGUGGUUUUGGUGGAAUUACUAUUAAUAACAGGGAGGAAAUCCCAAUUCCUUUUGAUUUUCCAUAUGGUGAUAUAACUAUUAUGAUUGGUGAUUGGUACACAAGAAAUCACACGUCUUUGAGGAGCACUCUUCUUGCUGGCAAAGAUCUAGGAAAACCAGAUGGUGUUUUAAUUAAUGGGAAAGGUCCUUACAGAUAUAACGAUACUAUUGUGCCUGAUGGCAUUGACUAUGAAACAAUCACUGUCCAUCCAGGCAAAACCUAUCGAAUUCGUGUAAGCAAUGUAGGAAUAUCAACCAGCUUGAACUUCAGAAUUCAAAAUCAUAACUUACUUUUGGCAGAAGCAGAGGGAUCAUACACUGUGCAGCAAAAUUAUACUAGCUUAGAUAUACAUGUUGGACAAUCUUACUCUUUUUUGGUAUCCAUGGAUCAGAAUGCAAGUUCUG
rnacentral:misc_RNA from 1 species